rnacentral:rRNA from 1 species
UACGGUAGGGGGCAAGCGUUGUCCGGAAUCAUUGGGCGUAAAGCGCGCGUAGGCGGCCCGGUAAGUCCGUUGUGAAAGUCAAAGGCUCAACCUUUGAACGCCGAUGGAUACUGCCGGGCUAGAGUCCGGAAGAGGCGAGUGGAAUUCCUGGUGUAGCGGUGGAAUGCGCAGAUAUCAGGAGGAACACCAAUAGCGAAGGCAGCUCGCUGGGACGGUACUGACGCUGAGGCGCGAAAGCGUGGGGAGCGAACAGG